rnacentral:rRNA from 1 species
GACGGAGGGGGGCUAGCGUUGUUCGGAAUUACUGGGCGUAAAGCGCGCGUAGGCGGCGCAUUAAGUCAGAGGUGAAAAGCCCGGGGGCUCAACCCCGGAAUUGCCUUUGAGACUGGUGUGCUUGAGUACGGAAGAGGUGAGUGGAAUUCCCAGUGUAGAGGUGAAAAUUCGUAGAUAUUGGGAAGAACACCAGUGGCGAAGGCGGCUCACUGGUCCGUAACUGACGCUGAGGUGCGAAAAGCGUGGGGGAGCAAACAGGAUUAGAUACCCCCGGUAGUCC